CCCCCUCGUCAGAGCCCGGCUUGCCGGUCCCUGUCCUUGCCUCACCAGAGUUGUCCUUGACGGAGCUGGGAGGGGGAAUACAAGCCGGUUGUUGAAAACAAGCAGCUCAGGGUUAUUUCACCUGCUCUGCACACUUUGCUGUUUCCGUCCUUCCCCCAGCAUAAGCCCACACUAGCUGGAAGAAAGGCAGAAAAUGAGCCCGGGCAGUACAGUCUGUGAAUGAGAUUUAACAACUGAGGAUCCCAGCACACAGCAGGAGAAAGGUAUUACCCUGUGCUGAUUGAAGGGUCUCCAAACUGCACAGAUAUGUUAAGACCUUCUGACUACCGAAACUGGACACCAGCUCAGUGCAUGUUCUCUUGAGGUAAAAGCUUGUUGGGACACCUACCUUCCUAUGGCCACACCCUGCAGGACUUCGUGACCUUGCAAUGAUGGACCUACAAUUCCAUGAUUCAUUGAGAGGAGUCAUGUCAUGCCAAGACGUGAACCAUCUGGAAUAAAAUUAUGGUCUUGGGAUGAAAUGUCUUAAGAGCCACCAAAAACGCCUCUUCUUACCUCAAAAUCUUCAUCAGAUCAUCUUGAACUGAGGAGAGCCAUGACAACUAGAAUUGACAUGGAAGUCUUUCAGAGAGUCCAGAGAGGAGCUUCUGCAGUGGAAGAUUCCAAGCUCUGGGAUUUCUCAUGGCAAAGAUUAGCAGCAGUCAUACUAGAUUUUUUGGAGGACUUUUGAAGAUCUUGACAUUUAUUACAUAGAGGAAACUUCUAAAAAUUUAAGUACCAUCCUCCAACAAUUCUUCCUACCCACCUCCCAAAAUCCACUUCAAAAAAUACGAAGUAUCGUUAAAAAGAGUUGCCAGUAGUCUGUUAUCAAGCAUUGGCUGACCUCACCUCUUUUGUUACCCUCUUCUUUGCUGAUGGCAGCACCCAAAUUUUAUAGAUACAUACUACCAUUUGGGUUUCCUGACAUACUUUGCAUUUGACUGGUAAUUCCUGAUAUAAAAGUGACCUAUAUACAGCAUUGUUUUUAGGGUUAGCAAGCAAGACUGUAUAUGCUCAAGAUGAUCUUGAGUAAAGGGUAUUACAAAACUACAACCUUAAUUAGAAAUUUGUCUACUGUAGAUGUAAAAAAUUACAUGUUUACUGGUUCCAGCUCAAAAAUUAGAUAUUUUUUGUCAGAGAAGCUCACUGGUACAUAUGUUUCUUUAAUCUACCUCACUAAACAAGGUGGAAGGCUUUCAGUUUCUUCUCUGUAUCAACCAUUCUUAGGAGGAAAUUGUGUUUGACCUUCUAAAUAUCUGUUUUGUUUAUGCAAUGGUAAUUUCCAAGGUUCCAGUUUGGAUUGGGCACUUUGGAUCUACACCAUAUGGCAGUAUAUGCACACCAUGGGAAGAAAACCCUUACCUUAUGUGGUAAACAGCUUUAAAAUCAAUAGUACUUGAAAAUUAGAUUUUGGUUAUUGUAUCAGAGGUGAACAUCUUAUCAGAGAUAAAUAUUGUAUCUGAUAGCAAACAUAAUACUGAAGUCAAAAUGGCAGAAGACCUGGCCUCUCCCCUACUUUUCUAAGUAGUUUCAUAAAUCCAGUUUUUGUUUGCACAAAUGGUACACAUGGAGAGAAUCCUUUUAUUCCUAUGAAUGAAAGCAUUUGUGUGCAAAUGAACACAUUCACAUGCAAAUGACUAUAUUUGCACAAGAAGCACUUGUCCACCUGCCACAUGAGCCUUGGCUUUUCGACUUCCAGCUUCCAGCGUCUGGGGACUGGAGGUACGGAGUGAAUAGGAGAAUAAGAAUGCCAGCAAUAUUUCAGAAGUUGAAUGGUCAGUCACUAUGAACAGCAAACAGGGAGGAUAAAAGAAAGCAAAGGGAAAGAAAAAUGAAAAAUGGAAAUGGACAGAGAAGAUUCUUACAACUGCUCAUAUAAGGCAAGUAGAAAGACCACUGUGUCCCAGAGCUGAAGCAAUGGCAAACUGCAAGCAAGGAAGGAAGAUGAAGUACUGAAAAUGAAGUCAAGGCUUUUAACAGAUUCCUUUGUUUCCCUUCCUAUUUAGCACCUAAAUAAAUUGCCUGAAAGGAUAAAAUCUUUUCUGCAAUAAUGGAGUCUUACUGCACUGAAAUCCUGUAGGUGAGACCCGGAGAGACUUUUAAAGUACAGGAGAAUGAUUUUUUUCCAUUCACAUUAUUUCCAUUCUUUUUCACGUAUACAAAUAACCAGCUCAUAAGCAAUAGAAGUGCUGUUGCUUUCUAGACUUCCUAAGGCUGCUCAUGAUCAGUGCUACUUUGACAGCAUAGAGUGCUAAUCUGUUUCUCCAGACCAAUUCGGCCACCUAGUAGGAAAAGUUUAACAGUGAAUAGUGAAAAAAGAUCUGAGAAGAGUGCAUCAAGCAGCUGAGGACUUGCAUCCUUAAACCCCAUCUUAUCAAAAGAAGCAAAACUAUGCAGCUCAUUUCUUACUUGUUUCUCAUUAGACAUUAUAUUCAGCCAAGAAAAUACAGCAUACAUCCCAAAUAAAUCCUAACGAUAAAAAACACAAAAAAACGAAAACCAGAACCUGAUUGCACUCCCAGUGGGUCCUCAGGAGCUGACUGCUGCAUAUGCAGCAGGUGGACAUCCAGUGAAGCAUGUAAUCCCCCUACGGUAAACUAAGUGAGCAGGAUCUGUGGAUACAGAGGCAGCCUGCCAAAGUACGGCUGCUAGGUGGCCGAUGUGUUGUAUCUCACAGGAGUCUUCCUGCACCUAGCAGAAGAUUUUGAGGCCAUGCAGCCCCCAGAGAGUGUUUUUUCUUUUUAAUUUAAAAUGUGUGAUUACCCCUUACUUUCUGCCACCUGUUCUGCUUAUAAACUUCUUCAGAGCCCCUCUCUCUGUCUAAUUUCCAGCAAGCUGUCAUGUUACCCUCACUCAGGGAGCUACCUUCUCCCCUAGGCAUUGAGAUGACUCAUGUGCACUCAUGUGUGCAGAGUGGCAGCUGGCCCUAAGGCCAGUCAGGGAUGUGACCCAUUUAUCAGUUGCUUAAUUUUCUUGUAAACUCUGAACCCUGCUAAAAGAAAGUUGAUAACUCAUGUGGAGCUUCACUUGUAGCAGCAUUUCUGUCAGUUCUCAGAAUCCCCUACCUGUUAGAAUGCUUUCUGGGAAGGUACAGUCCACAAAAAUGUAUGGAAAAACUAGGAACUCCAUUAAAAUUUCCCACAUUUUCAUCUCAAGACAUUAUUUCUACAGGAACCGCAGGUGCAAAUUCAGGCAGCUCCCUCAGACAAAAUCAGAUGUGUUCUUUCUGAAAUCAUAGCUUGGCUACUGGUCAGAGUAGCCAUCCAUAUCCACACGCUCCUCCUCUUCACGUUCCACCAGCUGGUCAGACAACAAAGCCUGUAUGAUGUAUAUCACUUAAUAGGCCUCUUAAUUUCAUGUUACUAAACCCUCAUCAACAUAAUUUCAGCUAGUACAAAGCAUAAUCUCUGUAAACAUUGCUGCAGGGUUUUUGUGGAAACCAUUACAAAACUCCACAAGGUAUUAUUGUCCAGCAAUGAUGCUGCUGCUGC